GACGAACGCUGGCGGCGUGCUUAACACAUGCAAGUCGAACGGAAAGGCCCUGCUUUUGUGGGGUGCUCGAGUGGCGAACGGGUGAGUAACACGUGAGUAACCUGCCCUUGACUUUGGGAUAACUUCAGGAAACUGGGGCUAAUACCGGAUAGGAGCUCCUGCUGCAUGGUGGGGGUUGGAAAGUUUCGGCGGUUGGGGAUGGACUCGCGGCUUAUCAGCUUGUUGGUGGGGUAGUGGCUUACCAAGGCUUCGACGGGUAGCCGGCCUAAGAGGGUGACCGGCCACAUUGGGACUGAGAUACGGCCCAGACUCCUACGGGAGGCAGCAGUGGGGAAUAUUGCACAAUGGGCGGAAGCCUGAUGCAGCAACGCCGCGUGCGGGAUGACGGCCUUCGGGUUGUAAACCGCUUUCGCCUGUGACGAAGCGUGAGUGACGGUAAUGGGUAAAGAAGCACCGGCUAACUACGUG
rnacentral:rRNA from 1 species